UAAUACGGGGGGAGCAAGCGUUGUUCGGAAUUACUGGGCGUAAAGGGUGCGCAGGCGGGAGAUUAGGUCAGAUGUGAAAACCCCGGGCUCAACCCGGGGCCUGCAUUUGAAACCAAUCUUCUUGAGUAUCGGAGAGGGAAGCGGAACUCCAGGUGUAGCGGUGAAAUGCGUAGAUAUCUGGAGGAACACCGGUGGCGAAGGCGGCUUCCUGGACGAAUACUGACGCUCAGGCACGAAGGCUAGGGGAGCAAACAGGAUUAGAUACCCUGGUAGUCCUAGCGGUAAACGAUGGGCACUAGGUAUCGGGGGUAUCGACCCCUCCGGUGCCGCAGUUAACGCAUUAAGUGCCCCGCCUGGGGAGUACGACCGCAAGGUUG
rnacentral:rRNA from 1 species